rnacentral:rRNA from 1 species
GAUGAACGCUGGCGGCGUGCCUAAUACAUGCAAGUCGAGCGAACAGACGAGGAGCUUGCUCCUCUGACGUUAGCGGCGGACGGGUGAGUAACACGUGGAUAACCUACCUAUAAGACUGGGAUAACUUCGGGAAACCGGAGCUAAUACCGGAUAAUAUAUUGAACCGCAUGGUUCAAUAGUGAAAGACGGUUUUGCUGUCACUUAUAGAUGGAUCCGCGCCGCAUUAGCUAGUUGGUAAGGUAACGGCUUACCAAGGCAACGAUGCGUAGCCGACCUGAGAGGGUGAACGGCCACACUGGAACUGAGACACGAUCCAGACUCCUACGGGAGGCAGCAGUAGGGAAUCUUCCGAAAUGGGCGAAAGCCUGACGGAGCAACGCCGCGUGGGUGAUGAAGGUCUUCGGAUCGUAGAACUCUGUUAUUAGGGAAGAACAAAUGUUUAAGUAACUAUGAACGUCUUGACGGUACCUAAUCAGAAAGACACGGCUAACUACGUG